AGAUCAAAACGGCGAUUUCCACAAACACCACCGUCUCAAAUCAAAGCGAGGAUUUACAUGGCCAUUGGUUCCAUUUUAUCUCUGACCAAGCCCCAAAGCGGCGGCGUUAGGGUUGCUUCGCGAACUGGCCGCCGGAAUGCGACAACGCAAGUCAUUGCCGGAGUUCAGGUGCGUUAUUUUGCCUCUUUAUUUGCUUUCUUAGUUGUUCAAAUUUCCUCUUCGAUCGUUUCCCCUUGCGGAAUUUUUCCCCUGUGUCCGUUAUUUUAGCAGAAAUAUUCUGUGUAGAAUAUUUAGUUGUCUCUCCAGGUAACUUUGAUUUUGAAGUUGUUUUUCAUCUUAUUCGAACGUACUACUGUGUUUGAAUGUUGAGAUGAUGAUUGAACAUGUUUGUACUUACUAAGGAGAAAGGAUAUGCCAUUCACUGAUAAACACAAGGCAUGGCAGCAACUGAGAAGGGGCCGCUAUGUGGAAUUCAAUUUGGUGUAUAAUCGAAGAACAACAUUCGGUCUUAAAACUGGAGGUCGGAUUGAAAGCAUUCUUGUCUCUUUGCCGC